rnacentral:rRNA from 1 species
GACGAACGCUGGCGGCGUGCUUAACACAUGCAAGUCGAACGGAAAGGCCCUGCUUUUGUGGGGUGCUCGAGUGGCGAACGGGUGAGUAACACGUGAGUAACCUGCCCUUGACUUUGGGAUAACUUCAGGAAACUGGGGCUAAUACCGGAUAGGAGCUCCUGCUGCAUGGUGGGGGUUGGAAAGUUUCGGCGGUUGGGGAUGGACUCGCGGCUUAUCAGCUUGUUGGUGGGGUAGUGGCUUACCAAGGCUUUGACGGGUAGCCGGCCUGAGAGGGUGACCGGCCACAUUGGGACGGAGAUACGGCCCGGACUACUACGGGAGGCAACAGUGGGGAAUAGUGCACAAGGGGCGGAAGCCUGAUGCAGCAACGCCGCGUGCGGGAUGACGGCCUUCGGGUUGUAAACCGCUUUCGCCUGUGACGAAGCGUGAGUGACGGUAAUGGGUAAAGAAGCACCGGCUAACUACGUG